GACGAACGCUGGCGGCGUGCCUAAUACAUGCAAGUCGAACGCAGUGGGGACAGGUGAGUAACACGUGGGUAACCUCCCAUCAGAGGGGAUAACACUUGGAAACAGGUGCUAAACCGCUACUGAUGGAUGGACCCGCGGGGCAGUAGCUAGUUGGUGAGGUAACGGCGCACCAAGGCCACGAGGCCUAGCCGACCUGAGAGGGUGAUCGGCCACACUGGGACUGAGACACGACCCAGACUCCUACGGGAGGCAGCAGUAGGGAAUCUUCGGCAAUGGACGAAAGUCUGACCGAGCAACGCGGCGGGAGUGAAGAAGGUUUUCGGAUCGUAAAAAUCUGUUGUUAGAGAAGCGUUAUCUAACCAGAAAGCCACGGCUAACUACGUGCCAGCAGCCGCGGUAAUAC
rnacentral:rRNA from 1 species